rnacentral:rRNA from 1 species
UUGCUUAGAUCGAGGGGCAACUCUCUUUCAGAGCGGAGAAUCUAGUCAAACUUGGUCAUUUAGAGGAACUAAAAGUCGUAACAAGGUUUCCGUAGGUGAACCUGCGGAAGGAUCAUUA